UGAUGGGGAGCCAUUGGAAGAUCCUGAGUGGAGGAGGCAUGUGCUCUCCUGGGCUUAGAGGAUCAUCCAGACCUGUGUAGGGAAAUCUGAGCUGGGCAGGGACAGAGUGGUCAGGGAGUCACUGCGGUGAUGCAACUCCCGUGGAGGAAGGGACUGGCAGCAUCCCAGGCACACAGGCGCAGAUGGAGGCAUCCCUCUCCAGUGGCUGGGGUAGGCUCUGAUUCCGCCUCCUACACUUGGAGCAAUUGUAAGCUAUCAGGGCCCGGCUGGCUGGCUCCAGGCCUCCCAGCCUGACCAGCCUGCCCUGCUGUCUUGGCCUGAGGCUGGCAUUCGUCCCCUGGGCUCUGCAGCGCUCAUCAUUGGGGCUCCUGCCGCAGCAUGGGGACUGAUGGACGAAGGCUGGGCAGGGAAGCAGGGAGCUGCAGUUUCCUGGAUUCCCUCCCCUUUACUGAAUAGGAAUCUUAGCACCUAAACAAGCCCGUGCAGAGUCCAGAUUCUGCUCUCUGUCCUGGGUCCAGAAAGUCCAUCUCUUUGAGCAUCGGUUUGCUCCAAUGCCAAGUGGAGACAAUAAAUUGCACUUUGUAGGGUUCCAACAAGGA